AGUUCUUCAGGGCUGUCUCUGUGAUCCAAGCUUUGAUCUGGGAAAGGUUGCGCCUCAUUGCAGAGUUGAAGCUAUCUCCCUGCUUUGUUUACAUGAACGCCCUUCCAGGACUCUGUCUGCUUUUGGGGUGGAAGUGCCCUGCCAAAAACUCCAGCUCUCCAUGCUGGCUGUGUGGCCAGCAUACCUCCUGCCUUUUCAACGAUUCCUCUGCCCUGGAUAGAGAGUGGUGUCUCAUAACAGUUUGGAAACUACAAAAGUUUCCCUGGCAGGAUGAAUGAUUGACUCGGCAACAUGUUCUUGCCUUUUGGAGUUGCCCUCCAAUUUUUCCAGGCUUGAUUCUGUAAAUCAUUUCGUCUUGUGAAAAUACUGGGCCGUGAGCGCAGAUGAUCUCAAAGAUGAGGAAACAGAAGCUGGGAUAUGUGAGUAAACAUUUCCAAGGUCCUGCAGCUAAUCAGUGGUGAGCUUGCAAAGAAACCCAUAGCUUUCAAACUCUGAAACUGAUGCUCCUUAGAUUCACCAGGCUACCUCACUUACUACCUAAGUGAAAUCAUCAUGGAGGGCUCCUUGUCCACCUCUUUGCAAUGACCCUAAGGAUCUGAGACGUACUUACCUCUCAACAAAGAAGAUGCUCCCCAUGGGCAGGCCCAGGAGUCCCCUUACCCAGAAAUCAGAAGACCCAGGAAGGAGAAGUCUGCACAGAGCAAGCCAGCUGUUUCAGUCCUAUGGCCAUCUUCCAUCAGUGAUGAUGUCCAAAAGGAUGCAAAAGCCCUUGUGACAGAGGCUGCUUGGGAAUUAGCAAACCUGCUUCCUCUUCCCACUGGGCUUACACAGCCCAUUGCAUUUUCCAACCUCCAUUGCAAUUAAGUGGCUGUGUGACUGGGUUUGAGCCUGGGAAACAAGAGCAGCAGUAAUUACACCACUUCCAGGCCCGUCCUAUUCAAGCUCCCUUGUGAGGUUCUCCAUGUUCAUUGUCCCUUUAGCUGGUUAUGAUGGAAAUGACUUCUAGGGCAACUUUGGGAGUUGCCUGAUGAAGAUGCUGAGCCACGAGAUAAGAAGAGUCUGGGUCCCUGAUUCAUCAUAUGGAGGAGAGCUUCCCAAUCAGGAAUAAUCUCACUAGACUGUGACAUGAGCGAGAAAGAAACUUUCCUUUUGCUAAACCACUGAAAUUUCUGGGUUCUGCUGAUAGAACAGGUAGCAUUACUUCAAAAAAUACAACAUCAAUCUAGGACUUUCUGAAAGAAUGAGAUACGUAAAUAAAGCCUAGGAACAACCUGUAGGAACUGGAGAAUGGCGCUUAUUAUGGAUGGAGAAGGAAAAAGAACUACAGGUCCUCCACAAUCUUCAAUGUAGAUUACAUCUGGAGUAAAAGAAUAUCUAGUGUAGAUCAAGAAUAAUAUCUAGUGUGGAUCAUAUAUUCUCCAAACGAGAUGCUCCAAACGAAAUGCUCCAAACGAAAUAUUCUCCAAAAGAAAUGCUUGUAGCUUGGAGAGAUCAAUAUUUCUUCAGACAAUCGGGCACUAACAGUACUUGUGGAUAUUCACUUGGGAAAUGUCAGAGCUCCAGAUUAUAAAAUUCUUGGAAAAGCUUGCAAUUGGCGCAGAAUGGAACAUGGGACUUUGUAAUUAGGUCUAUCCCGGAAUUACAACCUUUGCCCAUACUAAGCUGGAAACAAUAGAAAAUAUUUAAAUGUUGGACAUUUUAAUUACAGCAUAGGAGAGAAAAAACACACAGUGGAUAAAGAUGUUGUGGUAUAUUGGCUAUAAUAUUCUUAGCAAAGUAGGAAGUUAUGACUUCAAAAAACUCUCAACAGAUUCCUCACUUUGAUGGGAGGAGACUGCAGGUAUGGGAGCAGUAGAGACUUGAAUUACUCCGACAUUAUUGCAGAACAUUCCUCAAGUCUUUCCUGAAUAAUUGGACCCCUUAUAGGUCUAUCACUUUGCUACUAUGAGAUAAUAUUGAGUUUGCAAGAAUGCUUUUGCAGAGGCCGCUGUGCUCCUGGAAGACAGUAUUUAUAAAAAUAGUCACUUUUUAUGGUGGUAUCUGUUUGGGACAGUGUGAGCCCCUCACUACUCUCAGCUUUAGAUAUGGAAAACUCAAAGACAGACACAAAGGAAAAUACUUCUGUUUUCCAUUAUUGCAAAAAUAACCCUUUGUUUAAAAACCACUAUCUAUUGAUUACAUUUAGUGAUAUUAGAGACAUAUAAGGCAUGAAUAUAUAUAUAUUAUUUUUCAAAAAUUCAAACAGCUUAACACAAAACUCUAUUCUCAACCAACAUUUCUUAGAUGUUUGCAGACAAAAGAUGAAAAUCGACUGAAUUGUUUCUUAGGUUCAGGAGUUCUAGACUCCAGUAAAGAGGCUCUCUGGUCCUGAUGAGGCCAUAGGUUAAAUAAGUUUGUUUAGUUAUUUUCUCUUUCUGCCAUGUAAAUUGCCUUUCAUUAGCUCACUUAAUUGCCUGAGAGAGAACCUUUUCUGAGUUACCUUCUGAAACCAGGGAAUUAGAUGUAAGGUGGAUAGCCACCUUUCUCUUUAUUGUUACUGUAAACUAUAUAUCUCUAUUUUUCUCACUAGCCAUAAAACACAUUCAAUUGAGUACAUCACAGACAAUUUAAGUGAUGCCCACAAUGUACUCUUAGCAUGAAUAUGAUACUGAAGUCCUACCUGUGAAGGAUUACAGUAUUUUAGAAUUAUUUGUCUCUGAAAUACACACACAGUAUUUUAGCAUUAUUUGUCUCUGAAAUACACACAAAAACACACACACGCACUCUCACGUACAUGACUGUAUAUCUCCUAUGUGCUCUGAAUCCUAUAAUAAUCUGGUGAAUAGUUACUGUGCCUUAUUGAAAACGUGCUGACUCUCAUCUUGAGUUGAACACACUGUGCCACGUGUGUUAUUUACUUCUCUGUGGCCUUUGUGGGGGUAGGUUUUGGCCUAUAAUGGCCAAUAAAAUGUGUGCAUGUGAGAAUGCCUGAAUUAGCUCAAAGGAACAAAAAAAGAGUAUUGCCCUACAUAUUAAAGGGUUGGUGUUCUGGCAACUCUAGGCACUGCUGGUGGGGUGGUAGAGAAAAUGGAAGACCAAUAUCAGCAAGGAAUUGAAGAUUGAUGAAAUUUUUUAGACAUUAGGAAGGGCAUCAUACAUUCCUCUGCAACCUGGAAAAAAAGCCAAUAGUAGAAUGAAGCAAAGCUGGUAGAAACUAUAGCUAGAGACAGAAGAUUACUUCAAGAUUGGAGAAAAUGGAAAUGUGGGUACAGAUGUACGAGUAAGGCAGCAUGGAAGUGCAGGAAAGUGGUUGGUAUAGAAAGUUCUUCCGAUCAUUCCACACAACUCCCAAAUCAGUGGUUUGCAGAGUUGUCCACAGCCUCACUGGGAAUGUAACUUCUUAGGCCCACCCCAGACCUACCGAAUCAGAAACUGUGGGGGUAUGACUCUUGAUCUGUCCUUUAACCAGCCUCCAGUGGUUCUGAUGAGGGCUGAAGGUUGAGAACUACUGGGAGAAGGUGUACAUGAUGUGGGAAGCAUAACUUUGCUGUUCUUGCAGAUGACUUCAGUCUUCCCGGCCCUUCACAGCAUCAGCCUCUUUUAGUGCUGUGUGCCAUUCUACUGUUUAUAGGCACACAGUUUUCAUGACAACUAGUCCCUAGACAGAAGUUCAAGGGUAGACAUAGGCCUAUUUCAAUGCUAGAAAAAAUCUAGCAGGGCUGACUUUAGCUAGAGGCAGUGAGUCCAUCAUCAAUGGGCACCAUCCUAUGUGAUUUUCCAGGAUAUUUUGACCAUAGUCAAUAUUCACCAUAUUGUGAUCACUUUGAAUCCCAGACAGAUUCUACUCCACUAGCCCACUGCACCCACACCCAUCUCACUGUUCUUGUUUACAAUAAAGAAACCUCUGCCUUGGCAGCCAAUGCACACUUAGCCUCUUCCCAUUUUGCUUGUUAUAGGCUUUGCCAUACAAUGAAGAUUUAAUGCCAUAUUCAGCUAAAACACCAGCUAGAGAACCCAUAACACAGAAUACUUUUGAAGAGUUCAAAUGAAUGGGUUUGCUAUUUUUCAGAGUGCUUUAAAACACAAUUGAGUUUCUCUCUGCUGUUCUCCUACACUUGGGAUGAUUAUCUUGCAUCAUAGUUUGGUAUUACUAAAAGGCUUUUUGUCUGAUUAUGAGCCCAGAGUUCCCAGAGAGGGGGAGAUCUAAGAAUCUUUUUCAAGUCCAAAGAGAAUGUGGAGGAAGCAUUUUCCUGUGCCCUGUAGAAAUAAAUGCUCCAGUUGUUGCUCGGGGAAAAUGCAAGAGAAUCCUGCUAUUUUGCUGAUAUGGAAGACAAAGAGGAUUUGCACCAAAUAUUGCUUUUCAUGUGGGAAGCCAAUCCCCCUUACGUGAGCCCCCAACACGUGGCAGUGCAGUCUGCUUUGUUGGGUUUCACCAUAUUCCACUGAUAGGAAUGAGAGGACUGAAAACUGAUGAAAGGGGCAGUGAGGGAGCUUCAGCUGAUAGUGUGUUGAGUGUUACAGCCUGUCUGGCACCUGAUGUCACACACAGAUAUUACACUUUAUAACUGCCAUCGGAUGUCAGAGGUUUCCUAGAUGAUAGUUCCAUGGGGAUCCAGAGAAGGCCACCUGCACAAAGGUCUCUGGCUGGCUCCUUCUUUGUGUCUGCUACCCAACAAGAAACCAACAGCAGGAAAAGAUUUAUGAGUUGGUGAACAAAAGAUAAAUGAUUUCAGUCUCUGGAUGUUUUAAGAGCAAAUUUUUGUACAUCAAGUGGUUAAAAUUGAUCUCUCCAUUGACUUUUGUAUGGGAUGGGCCCAAACGAAUGAUGUUAGGUAAUCAAUGAAAAAAGUCUGUGCGUGAAGAAUUAAAAACCACAAUAUUGGAUUGCUACGGAAAAGGCUCCUCAAAGCAAGAAAUAAGUGAGGGCUACUCACACUCAAAGAAGGCUGGACCAAGAGCCAUCUGCCCUGGCUCUGACAUGCUGAGCAGACUCGAUCACAGACUGGUCUGAGACACAUGACUCAUGAAGUGAACCCUCUGACAGUUAAUAUUUCUUUUCAUGGAGAUUCUGAUUUUGCUAUCUGUGCUGGCGUUUCCUGCCUUUGUAACCUUCCUUUUAUCUCAAACAAAUAGCUCCCAGGGUGCUGUUGUUUGUUAUAAUAAGUUGUGAUUAUAAGCUUUUCUGGUUUAAGCCACUGUGAGAGGACCAGGCCUUGUUGUAACCCACUGGGAGGGACUGAGCAUUGCUGAGCACAGUCUUUCCCAAGCUCCUAACAUGUGUACUAGCCUCCCUAGGUAACUGCUGAACAUCCCAGGGCUUCUGGAUCCACCAGGCCAACCCUGCCAUCCCACCCCUAACUUCCCAGCAAACGUGGAGAAUAAUACCAGGGCAUUAAAUUAGACCUCAUUACCUAGCCAGUUGGGCUGCCCGGCUCUCCUGCACAUAAUAAUGAAGUCUGAUUUACUGUGAUCAUUAUUCAGGAAUUACAGGUCACUAAAUAACAUACUUUGCUCACACAUGUCUUCUGAGCUAAUAAAUAUCCUGAGAGGAAACAUUCUUGAGGGCGUGAGUCUCAGGUUUGGAUUGGUAAGUUCAGGCUCACUAAUUGCAUGAAGGCACUUUGCCUACUGCUCACGAAAUCUUGGGAUAGGAAAAGUCUAAUUAACAACCUCAGGGGAUGUGAGUGAGAGACAGGGAAGAGACUGCUGGAUUCUUUGGCCUACGGGCACAGGCCAGGGUGAGCCACUGGUGGAGGCUGACCCCAGGUGAGUCAACCAUAGAGCCAAUUCCAUAGCACCUCAUGCAGGGCCUUUUGGGAGCAGAACGGGGGGCUCCUCCCUUGCCUCCUUGCACUGUGUAUUCCUGACAUAUCAGUUAGGAGUUCCCUGUCAUGUCUUUCUCUCACCACUGGGCCUUUGCAUGUGUUGUCUAAAAUGCUGCACUCCAUUCCCAUCUCCCAUUGUAUGUGUUGUCAUCAUGUUUGGAAACUCAGCUUAGAUGUCUUCUCCCCAAGAAAGAAUUCCAUGAUCCUUUCGUAUCAAGUGUCUACUCUUAUACAGUGUAUGAUGCCCCCAUAUGGUUUUCAUUGACCUCCCUGUAUUCUCCAUUAGACUGUGAGGCUCUAAAUGGCCUAAUCUGGAUCUUACUGAUUGCUGUAUUCCUAAUGCCUGGCACAGCACCGGGACAUGGCAGGUGCCAUGUUAUUUGCCUGGAGAAUGAAAAAAAAAUUGUCUAUGUGGAAGGAAAGAAGGAUAUUGAGAAUAAUGUCAUGAAUGUGGUGGUGGUAGCAGAGGGUGGUGACUUUUUUAGCCUUGGUAAUAUCUAGUCAUGGAGAAGAGGUCCCUAGCCACCCUGGACAUUACUUUCCCAAGCCUGUCAUUAUCCAGACAUACAUCCAACUGGAAACUUCUAGAAGGAAGAAAACCUUGUAUCCUUGAAUGCCUGGCCUGCGUCUUGGCAUAUAGUAGGUGUUCAUUCAAUGUUGGAUUAAGCUGUUGGCUCUAGUAGCCAGUCUUGCCCACUCACCAGAGACUGGGGCCACUUUCCUUGAACAUAAGGGGAAAAUGUGGUUUGUGGCUGAGGAGACUGAAGCUUCUUUCUGGCCCUACCCUCAAGUUGAGCUCUGCUGGUAGGCAGGGGAGAAAGGGGCACUGGCAGGGCUAACUGCUGUCUAUAAUUCCAGGUGCAGCAGGUUGACAUUGUAACAAUGCCUGGCUAUAGGCUUUUCUUUGCAUAAUCCAAAAUCAUAGCACAUUGAGGUUUCAGCUUUGGACAUAAUGCAAUGAUAAGAAAAUGACGGCAUCAAUGAAUUGUCACAAGUUCUAGUUUGAUAACAUCCAUAUUUUUCUUAAAACUGCAAUAUAUAUUUUUAAAAGUCUAUUUGUCUCAAGGAAGACACUGGGGAUUGGGAAAAUAGGAUUAAAAAUAAUUCUUUUUUUCCUAACUCAUAAUGCAAAAUAUGUAACUGGUAAAUACUAAGUAAAUCUGACCAUAUAUCUACAUUAUUUAUGGAAAUAAUUCAGGAUUAUUUACUUUGUAGAAAAUUUGUUAGAAUGCUUUAAAAAUUACUGAAAUUAAAUAAAAUCAGGCUCCUUGAAUUAUCCAUGAGUGCAGCUUCACAUAAUCAAUACUUUAGCCAUUCUAGGAUGACAUUGCAUCU